rnacentral:rRNA from 1 species
GACGAACGCUGGCGGCGUGCUUAACACAUGCAAGUCGAACGGAAAGGCCCUGCUUUUGUGGGGUGCUCGAGUGGCGAACGGGUGAGUAACACGUGAGUAACCUGCCCUUGACUUUGGGAUAACUUCAGGAAACUGGGGCUAAUACCGGAUAGGAGCUCCUGCUGCAUGGUGGGGGUUGGAAAGUUUCGGCGGUUGGGGAUGGACUCGCGGCUUAUCAGCUUGUUGGUGGGGUAGUGGCUUACCAAGGCUUUGACGGGUAGCCGGCCGGGGAGGGUGGCCGGCCACCUUGGGCCUGAGAUACGGCCCAGACUCCUACGGGAGGCAGCAGUGGGGAAUAUUGCACAAUGGGCGGAAGCCUGAUGCAGCAACGCCGCGUGCGGGAUGACGGCCUUCGGGUUGUAAACCGCUUUCGCCUGUGACGAAGCGUUAGUGACGGUAAUGGGUAAAGAAGCACCGGCUAACUACGUG